UACGAAGGGAGCUAGCGUUGUUCGGAAUCACUGGGCGUAAAGCGCACGUAGGCGGAUGUGUCAGUCAGGGGUGAAAUCCCGGAGCUCAACUUCGGAACUGCCUUUGAUACAGCACAUCUGGAGUCCGGAAGAGGUGGGUGGAAUUCCUAGUGUAGAGGUGAAAUUCGUAGAUAUUAGGAAGAACACCGGUGGCGAAGGCGGCCCACUGGUCCGGUACUGACGCUGAGGUGCGAAAGCGUGGGGAGCAAA
rnacentral:rRNA from 1 species